AACUCAUAGCAGGAAGGGAUAGCUCCAGCAGCCGACCCACCAAUCACCGAAGAGGCCCACCUCCUCUCCCUACCAUUAAACGUCGAACCAGAGGAAGGUAUUUAAGGCACCCCAGCUGCUCUCUCCGGGCCUUUUAGACAAAGUCGGUCAGCCCUCUAACACAGCUCUCGCCAUUAGCUCGCCUGUGUCUCAGCUCUCUCUACGCCCAUCAGAUCUCCAGCUCUCGAAGAGGAAAAACCUAGAAGCCUACCGGACACCUUAACUUAUUCGAAAAUAACUUAGUCGCGAUUUUGAUUUUUUCUUUCGGGACUUAGUCUCAAUCUCUAUUAAGAGAGCUGUAUCAACAUUAACACUUUAAUAAAGUGCUACCAUCCAGCAACCUCUGACUCUUUGGCCAUUCUCUGCGCUGCCUUGCCACUUCUUCAGGUUCUCACCGAGGUCGAGCAACCCAGGGAAGGAGCAGCGGUGCCUGCAUUCAUCCAUUGAUCCCGUCAUCCGGUACCUUUCUACGCAUCAUCAUGGUUAACCCCCGCCGAACUUCUUCCGUUGGACGCGAAAUUCCCCU